rnacentral:rRNA from 1 species
UUAAGUAAGGAAGGGCGUACGGCGAAUGCCUUGCCACUCGAAACUGAAGAAGGACGCGCCAAACUGCGAAAAGCUCCGUGAAGCUGUAAGGAAGCGAAGAAGCGGAGGUGUCCGAAUGGGGGAACCCGGCAGCAGACAUGAGCUGUCAUCUGCAGGUGAAUACAUGGCCUGCAAGAGAGGUACCCGGCGAACUGAAACAUCUAAGUAGCCGGAGGAAAAGAAAACAACAGUGAUUCCCUGAGUAGCGGCGAGCGAAAGGGGAGAAGCCCAAACCGGUUGAAGGACCGGGGUUGAAGGACCAUGACAUGGCAAGAACGAGGAUAGGAGAACGGGAUCGAAAGCCCGGCCGAAGAAGGUGAAAGCCCUGUAACCGAAAUCCGAGUAAAGCCUAAUGGGAUCCUGAGUACGGCGAGACACGAGAAAUCUUGUCGGAAGCAGGCGGGACCAUCCGCCAAGGCUAAAUAUAAACGAGUGAGCGAUAGUGAACCAGUACCGUGAGGGAAAGGUGAAAAGAACCGCGGGAGCGGAGUGAAAGAGAACCUGAAACCGUAUGCCUACAAGAAGUCAGAGCCCGUUAAGGGGUGAUGGCGUGCCUUUUGUAGAAUGAACCGGCGAGUUGCGACAGACUGCGAGGUUAAGGAGGAAAGACCGGAGCCGAAGCGAAAGCGAGUCUUAAGAGGGCGAAAGUAGGAUGUUGCAGACCCGAAACCGGGUGAUCUAGCCAUGAGCAGGUUGAAGUUGAGGUGAAACUCAAUGGAGGACCGAACCGACUACCGUUGAAAAGUUAGCGGAUGACUUGUGGCUAGGGGAGAAAUUCCAAUCGAACCCGGAGAUAGCUGGUUCUCCCCGAAAUAGCUUUAGGGCUAGCGUCGGAAAGAACCUUAGUGAAGGUAGAGCACUGAAUGUGUGAUGGCCCCAUCCCGGGGUACUGAAUACAAUCAAACUGCGAAUGUCAUUAAGGAUGUCCGGCAGUCAGACUGUGAGUGAUAAGGUCCAUGGUCAAGAGGGAAACAGCCCAGACCGCCAGUUAAGGUCCCAAAAUACAGGCUAAGUGGAAAAGGAUGUGGGGAUGCCCAGACAACUAGGAGGUUGGCUCAGAAGCAGCCAUCCUUUAAAGAGUGCGUAACAGCUCACUAGUCGAGUGACCCUGCGCCGAAAAUGUACCGGGGCUAAGCCUGAUACCGAAACUGCGGAUUGUAGGAAACUAUAGUGGUAGGGGAGCGUUGUAUACGAGCAGAAGCCGUACCGUGAGGAGCGGUGGAUUGUAUAGAAGUGAGAAUGCCGGUGUGAGUAGCGAGAUGUAGGUGAGAAUCCUACACACCGAAAGCCCAAGGAUUCCAGGGGAAGGUUCGUCCGCCCUGGGUAAGUCGGGACCUAACGCGAGGCCGAAAGGCGUAGUGGAUGGAAAGCAGGCGAAAGAUUCCUGCACCCGUAUAUGGAGCGAAGGAGUGACGGAGACGGAUAGUGUGACCCUCUUAAUGGAUUGAGGGCGAAGCGAAGCGGCUGGUUACCAGGCAAAUCCGGUAACCAUAAGGCUAGAGCGUGACAGGUAAGCGAAAUCUUAGGAAAGUAGCGAAGCACAUGAUGACGGCUUCCAGGAAAAGCUUCUGGCAAUGCAUAUGCGGCCCGUACCAAAACCGACACAGGUGGGCAGGGAGAGAAUCCCGAGGUGAGCGAGAGAACUGUUGCCAAGGAACUCGGCAAAAUGACUCCGUAAGUUAGCGAGAAGGAGUGCUUAAGCAAUUAAGCCGCAGUGAAGAGGCCCAAGCGACUGUUUAACUAAAACACAGCUCUCUGCGAAGUCGCAAGACGAAGUAUAGGGGGUGACACCUGCCCGGUGCUGGAAGGUUAAGAGGAUCUGUUAAGAGCGAUCUGAAGCAGUGAUCCGAAGCCCCAGUGAACGGCGGCCGUAACUAUAACGGUCCUAAGGUAGCGAAAUUCCUUGUCAGGUAAGUUCUGACCCGCACGAAAGGCGUAAUGA